rnacentral:tRNA from 1 species
GGAGAGGUGGCCGAGUGGUCGAAGGCGCUCCCCUGCUAAGGGAGUAUACCGGUGACGGUAUCGUGGGUUCGAAUCCCAUCCUCUCCGCCA